UACGUAGGGGGCAAGCGUUGUCCGGAUUUAUUGGGCGUAAAGAGCGUGUAGGCGGUCAGGUAGGUCCGUUGUGAAAACUCGAGGCUCAACCUCGAGACGCCGAUGGAAACCAUCUGACUAGAGUCCGGAAGAGGAGAGUGGAAUUCCUGGUGUAGCGGUGAAAUGCGCAGAUAUCAGGAAGAACACCCGUGGCUAAGGCGGCUCUCUAGUACGGUACUGACGCUGAGACGCAAAAGCGUGGGGAGCGAACAGG
rnacentral:rRNA from 1 species